CGUUGACAAAAUACCACUUUAAUUAGAAAGGAUUAUUAUUAUUUUUAACAAUACGCUAUCCAAAACAUGAUUAAGAUUUAUUCAACACAAAUAAAAAUGCUGUCUCACUUUAUUUUGAGACAAUGACAACAAUUAUACUUAUAAGAAAACACUUGCUUACAGAGUUAUUAAACACAAAACCAAUUAAGAUUGGGUGCGAACAUUUAGGGUGUGAAAGUGAAAGGGGGCGAACAUGAGUGGGCGCGAACGGAACCGGAUUCAGACUAUGUACCAGUGAGAAAUAUACAAGCCUUUCUACGGUAUUUAUUUGUACAAUUCAGGUAGUCUUGACCUAUUCAUUUGUCUUAAAAAAAACAGCCAGUUGUCACCUUCACUUCACACACACACAUAUAUACGAAUAUCAAUUAUAUGCUUACGAGACAUGUUGCAUUGUUAAACUAAUUACGGUAUGUGAAAAUCAAGACUUGCAUAAAAACUAUCCCAAUAUUAGAGACAGUAGCGUCAUUUUUCUUCAGAGCUUUCAGCUCUUUGAUUUGUAUUUGGUUGUAAAGAUAUGUUAAUUAACUUCAAUUAAAACAGGUUAGAUGAUUAAAAUAAUUUAAAAAAUUAGAUUAAAUAUUCAUGUUUUGAGGGGAGACAACACUGUAAACAGUCUGUUUAUUUGUGAAAAUUCAAAACUUAUUUGCAGCCACUGUAGCUCUUUUCGGAGCAGGCGAACGUACCCUGAAGCAUGAAUUUUUUGAAAGACCAGGUAAAAAUCUACCUGUGCAGGUAUCAUGUCUUCAGGGGUGUGCACAUGACCUGAUUUCAGGUUUUUUAAGCUGAAAUUAGGCAAUGUUUUUCCCAGUUUCUCUGGAUAAAACUUUUUUAUACUAUUAAAAGUACACUUUUUUUUAUUCCAUUAUAAACUAGAGAACAUUCUGAUUCCAGUGAUAUCUAGUUUUAUACAGGUAUCUUUAUUAAUCAGUCCACCA
rnacentral:lncRNA from 1 species